CGGCCACAGUGCUCAGCGCCGAGGGCAAACAAAAGCGCCGGGGAUCAUCGCCUAGAACCCCCGGGCUCCGAAAUCCCCCACCCGGGGCUGCUGCUGGCUUUCCCCCCGGCUGCGACCAAGGAGUGGAGCAGAUGCAUGGCUGCAGUGGGGAACUGUCAUUCUAUUUGAAGCGGAGACGGAGAGCGAUUUUCACAGAGCUGGAGAGUUUCUUCUGUCGCCUGCAUUGAGGAAUUGCCAAGGCUUGAAAAUCUCUGUGCGCCAAGUCAAACUGGAUGUUCUUGAUUUGCAAUGUGGAUGUUCUAGCACCCGAACUGACAAGUGCUCCACACUGAAUUUGCCUAGCUGCCGAGUUCUUUAGUUUUUGUUUUAGGGGUGGGGGAGAUAUAGGAUGAUCAUUGGCUCUUGUGUCUGAAGUGUAUGUGAGCAAAAGGUACACUUUUAAUUGGCCACCAUCUCUUCCUUUUAAACUUUGCCAUGUCACCAUCACCACCACAACCAUCUCACACACACACACACACACACACACACACACACACUGCACCCUCACAAAUCCCUGUGAUUCUGGAACCCAUUGCUCUGGAGAGCAUGUGACACAGGAUUUGAUGUAAGUGCUGCAAGAGGAAUGAUCCCUCCUCUUCUGAGAUGAUGAGCAGUAAUGACCAUGUAAGCCAACUUUCCCACCAUGUAGGAGUCCAAAGAAUGAAAGCGACGGAGAGGAAAGCAGAGCUCAGGUUUGAGUGAGAGGAAGAGGUUCCUGAGUACUUGACUCCAACAUGCCUGAGGCUGCACUACCCUUGGCCUUCUCAGAUAUCGGAACCAACGAGUUAAUUUUUCCCUACCUCAUUUGAUUUGGGUUUCUGUAACUUGUAAUCAACGAUGCUCUUGUGGGGUGUGGUGAGUUGGACAGGGAGGAACCCAUGGGAGGGAAUGGACUAGAGAAUUGAGAAGAUGAAGAACGGAGCUGUCUUCUCUAUGAUGAGCAUCUCUUACUUCUCUGGUGCUUCUCAAUACCAGUUCCCUUUCACAAUGUCCUGCUUGCUCCAUCCCCAUAAUGGAGGACACUCCCUGGUGUUCUGGCUGGCUUCAGUGCUCUGGGUCAGGGAUUGCAGGAGCAAAAAGCCAGGCUUUCCCCUAGACUUCUAGGACCCAGGAACUUGGGAGAUGGCCAUGCCCUUGGUCUUUCUAUGCACAGAAGUUGAGGGGAAUCAUAUUCUAGGACAGUAGUUGUCAAUAUAAAGUCACUGAUCUCUCAGAAAUUCUGGUAAAAUCUAUGGAUCAGAGUUCACAAACCACCUGCCUAUGGGCCAUAUUUGAUCCUUCAGGCUGUUAUGGUUGGUGUGCCAAGAUUCUUUUUUUAAAAAUAUGGAUCAAAUUAAAAUUCUGGAGAUUUCACCCCCCAAGGGAUCUAGAUUUCUGCUUUCUCUUAACCAACCCUAGACUCUGUCAACACUGGAUCCUGUUCCCUCACAGCAGUGAUCAGCUGAAGCAGGGUAGUGGCUGCCCCUUUAGAAGGCACAUUCACCACAGUCGUCCUGUUCACCGCAGUCCUCACCAUCCCCUGUGGUCUUCCCAACACUGAACAUUACUUGCCAUUUGUCAUCACCCUUGUAUUGUUGUUUCUCUUGUGGUGAAGAAGUAUUUCUCUGGACCCAAGUCUCUACCAGAAGCAGGGAAAUAAAAGAUCCAAAAGACUGGAUAUUUCAGGACAAAUCCGAAAGACCUUAUUUCUCUGUGAAAGUGAAACAUACUCUUCUGUGUAUUUAAGCAAAGGGUGGCCAGGUUCUCCUACCUGACCUAUUUCAUUCUCCUAUAUCCCUACAUGGCCCAGGCAUUUGUGUACAGGCUGCAUCUAAGACUUUCUCUGCAGAAAAAUGUUCUGGAAGCCCAGAUUCGGGGGAUUAAUUGACAAUCUGAAGGCCGACUAUGAAUCCCGAGGGUCCUCUUGACCUCAGGUGAGAACCCUGGCCUAAGGGUGAUAGCCUCCGUGGAAGUACUGCUCCGGAAAGAAAAGUCUGCCCUCCCCGUUGUACGGGGCUCUCUUGACUGCGACUGAUCCAGGUGGUCAGAAGAUCAUCAAUCGUAAGACUUUGCCGCUAGAAAGGACAUCAUUUCACUAGUGCAGAAUAAUUUCUUUGUCUCCUUUCUUCUCCCUCACGAUGUUCUAAUCCUCUGAACUCCUUGUUUCUCAAACACACCGAGCUUCACUCAGGGACUUUGUACUUGUUCUCCCUGAAAUGUGCUUUCCCCGAUAUUCUCAUGGAAUCACUCCCUCACUUUGUUCAGGUCUUUGCUCAGAGAGGCUUCCUCUUUCUUAUCAGUGACCCUUUCUUUCUCCUGCUUUAUUUUUCAUCUCAGCACUUACUACUACCUGAUAUUACAAUGGUUUUUAUUUGUCAUUUGUUUCAUGUCUCUCUCCCCUUGGAAUAUAAGCAGGGACUUUGUCUAUAUAAUCACGACCGCGUUCCCAGUACCUAAAGAAGCUCCUGGCCCCUAGUAGAUACCCAGUGUAAAGUUACUGAAUGAAUGAAUGAAUGAAUUAAAAGCAUCUACAAGUAAGGAAACUGAAACGCUUUUACUGUCUUCUUUCUGGCCCGGGUGCCUGAAUUCUCAUCUUCCCCAACUAGACAUGCUUCUCACCCUAAUCUGUGGUUUAGCCUUCGGACUCUGGUCUGCUACCAAGAGGAGCUUCUCCUUGAUCUCCGGGAGCUCGACCUCACAACUAUGGUGUUUAGGAGACAGCAUGUAAGGGACUCACCCACUUAUGAAACAUUCAUGAGGACUUAAAUGUUCCGGGCCUUGCAGACAAAUAUAAUUCAGCCCACUCUUAUGGGGGUCUGGGUUUAGUGAGAAAGAUGCCACCGACAAUUCAUUCUAACAAAGGGUUAAAAGUCAUGGAGAAAUGCACAAACUGGUUUUGCAAACAGCUGGGAAGCAUCACUCCAAACCACCUUGGGAAGUCCAGAAAUGCUUCACAGGAGUGGGAAUCUUGCUCAAGCACCUUAACUUCUCUGGAUUCUUGUUUUCACAUGAAAAAUUUGGAUUCGAUGGGCAGUUAAGUUUCCUUCUCAUUCAUAUCACCCUCCAAGCCCUGUUCCACGAUCUUUUGCAAUUGAUGGUGUUAUUAAACCUAGGCCUGGGUGGCUUAGGUAUGUUUGAUUUUCCAGAGAAGAUCGCAAAGGUCAAGGCCUGGAAUGAUGAUGUGGUAAGCGGAGCAGUCAGAAGAAAUACCUGUUAGUAAAUAACAAACACCGCUCCUGGCUUAGUCAUGGAAUUCUGAGAAGCACCAGCACCCAGUGAACCAAUCUGGAGAUUGGCAGUCAUGGAUGAGACUAACUUUAACCUAAGGCAUGUGGCACAGCUACAAAAUGCGACUCUGAAUAACACAAACAAUCACCACCUCCGUGAGUCACCAGACAACCUCCAUAUACGUUCCACACUGAAAGGCCCACGGAUCACACAUA